AUUGAACGCUGGCGGCAAGCCUAACACAUGCAAGUCGAGCGGAUGAAGGGAGCUUGCUCCUGGAUUCAGCGGCGGACGGGUGAGUAAUGCCUAGGAAUCUGCCUGGUAGUGGGGGAUAACGUCCGGAAACGGGCGCUAAUACCGCAUACGUCCUGAGGGAGAAAGUGGGGGAUCUUCGGACCUCACGCUAUCAGAUGAGCCUAGGUCGGAUUAGCUAGUUGGUGGGGUAAAGGCCUACCAAGGCGACGAUCCGUAACUGGUCUGAGAGGAUGAUCAGUCACACUGGAACUGAGACACGGUCCAGACUCCUACGGGAGGCAGCAGUGGGGAAUAUUGGACAAUGGGCGAAAGCCUGAUCCAGCCAUGCCGCGUGUGUGAAGAAGGUCUUCGGAUUGUAAAGCACUUUAAGUUGGGAGGAAGGGCAGUAAGUCAAUACCUUGCUGUUUUGACGUUACCAACAGAAUAAGCACCGGCUAACUUCGUG
rnacentral:rRNA from 1 species